GGGCCCGCACAAGCGGUGGAGCAUGUGGUUUAAUUCGAUGAUACGCGAGGAACCUUACCAGGGCUUAAAUGUACGUUGCAUUAGUUAGAGAUAGCUAUUUCUUCGGACUACGUACAAGGUGCUGCAUGGUUGUCGUCAGCUCGUGCCGUGAGGUGUCAGGUUAAGUCCUAUAACGAGCGCAACCCCUGUUGUUAGUUGCCAGCGAGUGAUGUCGGGAACUCUAACAAGACUGCCGGUGCAAACCGUGAGGAAGGUGGGGAUGACGUCAAAUCAUCACGGCCCUUACGUCCUGGGCUACACACGUGCUACAAUGGCCGGUACAGAGGGUCGCGAAUCCGUGAGGUGGAGCUAAUCUCAGAAAACCGUUCUUAGUCCGGAUUGAAGUCUGCAACUCGACUUCAUGAAGCUGGAAUCGCUAGUAA
rnacentral:rRNA from 1 species